CCAGUCCUUCUCUGGAGGGUAAUCCAUAAUGGCGGACGACGUGAGAUUGUUUUUAUUAAUUCUCUAAGGAUAAACCAAAACGGUUGUUUGUUAUUUAAAAGAGCUUUUACAUUCAGUUUCUCAACUAAAGCUCUUUGCUUAUUGCUCCAUAAUGGCAGAGAAGAAUUCGAAAGGGAAGAAGCGAAAAUGGGAACCAGUAGAAUUUGACGAUCCUUUGUUCUUUGCGGGCGAAAUGGAUGGAUUUGUGUCCCUUGAAGUCAUGGAAGAUUAUCAUCCAGAAGAGCUAGCAGGAAUUGGUGCAGGUGGACCAGCUCAGAAGAAGAAAAUAAAAGAACGGCCGCUGCAGGAGGAUAAUCUGGAACAAACAGUUACCACACCAUCCACACAACUUGAAAAAGCAUGAAGAAUGACCAACAGACAAAGGGAAAAAAGAAGAAGAAAAGAAAAACAAGGCCCAAAGUAAAGCCCAGUCAGAAGAGCAAAACAGAGUAGAAAUGGUCACUGACAAUAGACUGGUGGAAGAUCCUCCAGAGCCCAUGGCAGAUAUGAGUGCUUGGGAAGUCCUUGGUGUUCCCAAAGAAGUUCAGAGAGGACUCAGUGAACAAAGUUUUACUACACUAACCCCUUUACAGACUCUCUCCCUUCUGCCUGCAAUAUUCCACCACAGGGACAUCAUUGGUGCAGCAGAAACAGGUUCAGGUAAAACACUAGCCUUUGGGAUUCCAAUUCUCACCCACAUCCUUGGCCACAAGUCCAGUCAAGAAGCAGGUGAAACUACAGAAAAUACUACCAAAAAUAAUGCUACAGAAGCCACAGAAACUGGUAAUGGAACAUCCAAGCUCAAGAAACCACUCCUGGCGUUGAUAAUGACACCAACCAGAGAAUUGGUUAUACAAAUAAAGAAUCAUCUUAAACAGGCUGCAAAACACACAUCUUUAGAGAUUGUUGCUGUGGUUGGAGGAAUGGCACCUCAAAAACAGCAGAGGCUUUUAAACAAGUGUCCUGAGAUAAUAGUAGCCACCCCGGGAAGACUGUGGGAUUUGAUUUCCGAGUGAUAAUGAUGAAGAUGAGGGAACUGCAAAGCGAAGACAUCUACAGAAGUUUCUAUUCUCUGCAACUUUAACUCCUCCAAAGUCGUUUAAGAGGAAAGGAAAGUAAAAGAAGAUCACAAGCGAAGAAGGCUUUGCUAUACUCUUUGCAUUUUACAUUUUUAAUGUCACCGAUGGACAAAGUUGGGCAGCAGAAGAACAGAUGUAAAAUUAUCGAUGUCACCAACAAGAGAGGAACCGUAGAACCGUCAUGUGUAAUUUAAGAGAAGGUUUGUAAUAGUUGAGCUGACAAGGAAGAGAAACACUUCAAGAUCCAGGAUACAAUUUUUAUUACUUUUUAUUGUUGGUUUGAGCCAAAUGCAUCGACACGUACACCGCACUGUCUAGGAACAUGAUCCAUGGAGGUGUACCAAGUGAAAUCGAAGGAGAACUACAAAACAUACAGAGAGUAUAGUUUACGAACUAACCGACCAAUGGAAUUUCCUUUAUUUAUAGACUAUAACUGGAUCGCCUUGACUGAUUAAAACCCGCCCCUCUCCUCCCUCGGAGAAUAUUU